rnacentral:rRNA from 1 species
GACGAACGCUGGCGGCGUGCCUAAUACAUGCAAGUAGAACGCUGAAGAGAGGAGCUUGCUCUUCUUGGAUGAGUUGCGAACGGGUGAGUAACGCGUAGGUAACCUGCCUUGUAGCGGGGGAUAACUAUUGGAAACGAUAGCUAAUACCGCAUAACAAUGGAUGACACAUGUCAUUUAUUUGAAAGGGGCAAUUGCUCCACUACAAGAUGGACCUGCGUUGUAUUAGCUAGUAGGUGAGGUAAUGGCUCACCUAGGCGACGAUACAUAGCCGACCUGAGAGGGUGAUCGGCCACACUGGGACUGAGACACGGCCCAGACUCCUACGGGAGGCAGCAGUAGGGAAUCUUCGGCAAUGGGGGCAACCCUGACCGAGCAACGCCGCGUGAGUGAAGAAGGUUUUCGGAUCGUAAAGCUCUGUUGUAAGUCAAGAACGGGUGUGAGAGUGGAAAGUUCACACUGUGACGGUAGCUUACCAGAAAGGGACGGCUAACUACGUGCCAGCAGCCGCGGUAAUACGUAGGUCCCGAGCGUUGUCCGGAUUUAUUGGGCGUAAAGCGAGCGCAGGCGGUUUGAUAAGUCUGAAGUUAAAGGCUGUGGCUCAACCAUAGUUCGCUUUGGAAACUGUCAAACUUGAGUGCAGAAGGGGAGAGUGGAAUUCCAUGUGUAGCGGUGAAAUGCGUAGAUAUAUGGAGGAACACCGGUGGCGAAAGCGGCUCUCUGGUCUGUAACUGACGCUGAGGCUCGAAAGCGUGGGGAGCGAACAGGAUUAGAUACCCUGGUAGUCCACGCCGUAAACGAUGAGUGCUAGGUGUUGGAUCCUUUCCGGGAUUCAGUGCCGCAGCUAACGCAUUAAGCACUCCGCCUGGGGAGUACGACCGCAAGGUUGAAACUCAAAGGAAUUGACGGGGGCCCGCACAAGCGGUGGAGCAUGUGGUUUAAUUCGAAGCAACGCGAAGAACCUUACCAGGUCUUGACAUCCCGAUGCUAUUUCUAGAGAUAGAAAGUUACUUCGGUACAUCGGUGACAGGUGGUACAUGGUUGUCGUCAGCUCGUGUCGUGAGAUGUUGGGUUAAGUCCCGCAACGAGCGCAACCCCUAUUGUUAGUUGCCAUCAUUCAGUUGGGCACUCUAGCGAGACUGCCGGUAAUAAACCGGAGGAAGGUGGGGAUGACGUCAAAUCAUCAUGCCCCUUAUGACCUGGGCUACACACGUGCUACAAUGGUUGGUACAACGAGUUGCGAGUCGGUGACGGCGAGCUAAUCUCUUAAAGCCAAUCUCAGUUCGGAUUGUAGGCUGCAACUCGCCUACAUGAAGUCGGAAUCGCUAGUAAUCGCGGAUCAGCACGCCGCGGUGAAUACGUUCCCGGGCCU